UUCGUAGGCGGAUAAGCAAGUAAGAGGUGAAAGCCCAGGGCUCAACCCUGGAACAGCCUUUUAAACUGCUUAUCUAGAGACUGAUAGAGGUUAGGGGAAUACCUAGUGUAGAGGUGAAAUUCGUAGAUAUUAGGUGGAACACCAGUGGCGAAGGCGCCUAACUGGAUCAGUACUGACGCUGAGGAACGAAAGCGUGGGUAGCGAACAGGAUUAGAUACCCUGGUAGUCC
rnacentral:rRNA from 1 species